rnacentral:lncRNA from 1 species
CAAAACUGGGGAAAGGUUGAUUUUUUUUAAGACCUUAUUCAGAGCAAUUGAAAAAAGAUUAAAGGGAAAGGAUGAGGAGAAUUCAAGGAACUUUAGAGACUGAGUGCUAGCUCAGUAGCGUGUUAAUUAUUUAUUCCAAGUUUUAUUAUUAGUAGAUAAUCCAGUAAUACAGAAAUUGGUAGAACAGAAAUUUUGAUAACAUUUCUAUUAGAAGGCGUAUAGAACCUGAUAAACUGUAUAAAGUACACAGUUUAUCCUGUAUCUGCAUCCUCCUUCCCUUUGCUUUGCUUGGUUUAAUAGGAAUUGGCUGAUACAUAUUUAAUAAAUGGCACAAUGAAAAAAUCAGAAUUUUUAAAAAUCAAGUUACAUUUUAACCUAAAUAUGUAUUGCCUAUUUUGCUGCUUUCCCAUUACAACUGACUUUUUAAAAAAAUGGUCCUUCUGUGAUACUUUUGUCAAUAGAGGUGUUUCCUCUUAGCCAAUCCUAGCCACAGUAUUGACUGGGCCUAGGCAUUUGAUAUAUCCCAAAGGAAUUAGCCAGGAAAAGACUUGGUCCCUACUGGAAUGAAUAUUUUAAAGACCUUCUUAGAUUCUGAACACUGUGAGUACAAAUGAAAGAGACCCAAGAGAGGGAAAAACUUAAGAGCCUAAGAAUAAAGAUGAUGGUGGGGA